UAUGGGACCAAGGGCUCCUAAUUUCCUAAUUACCAGCCUAUUUUUCAUUCAAUGACCAUCUCCUCAUUCCUCUCCUUGUAUAAUUGCCUGUCCUUAUCUUUCCCUCAGGAUCUCUGGUUUCUUUCAAGGCACCUCAAAGGCCAGUUUUUAUAGGACCUGUGGCCAAGUCCCCCAGCUACUAAUAUUUUCCUUUCUAAGGUUAUCUUCCAUUCACUCUGCAGAUAUUUUCCAUGUACCAUGCUUGUGUUGUCUCCCACAAGUUCCUUGAAAGGAGAAACUUCUAUAUUUUCUGGUAAGUGUUUAAUAAAUGCUCAUUGAUUGAUUUAUUGAUUGCUAACACCCAUCUCCAUGUCUAGGAAAGAAGAUGACCUAGGCAUGUAUGAACAAUGAGAAGGAGGCAUAACUGGUAAACAUUCAUGGGCUUCGUUGGAUCCAAUUCAAUAAGAGACCUCGAGGAAUGUCUCUGGGAUCUUGGGUUGGUGACUUGCCUCUUGGAGGUUGCUUUUGACUGGGACUUUGGCUCUUGGACUGCUUCUUGGAGGACUGCUUCUGGAUCUUCUCCUUUGGACUUUAGUGUUGGAGGACUUUGCCUUGGCUUAUUCCCUACACCCCUACAAUACAUCAGUCAACUAAUCAAGCAAUCAACAAGUAUUUAUUGGGAAGGAAAGAAAUGAACAUUUAUUAAGCACCGACUGUGUGCCAGUUUCAGAUACAGUUAGCUGCAAUCAUGGCAACCUUGGAAGCAGAUUCCAGAAAGGACAUUAAAGCCAGCCAGCCCUAGCAAGGAAGCCUGGAGAAGUCAGAAUGCAUAAAACUCAGAGGGAUUUUGGAUUUGGAACUGGUAUUGGGAGAGUAAAUUUGUAUAUUUGUGAUUAUAUUUUUGACUUAAAUAUAUUUGAUUAUGUUGUAAAGGAGAAAGGGGUAAGGGCAGAAAGGGGUAUUGGGAGAGACCAGAGCCAGAGCCCCAGCAGCUUGCCUCCUUGAGCCCCAGCAAAAGAGUGAAAACCCCUCCCAGUGUGGGAUCUGCCCAUUUGUGCACAAAUCUACUCCAGGAUGUCAGAAAAGGGAACCCUGGGAAGAGUAGGGAAUGGUGGGGAAUGUACAUUUUUUUUUUACAAAGCACAAUUAUACUAAUGAUUAAAUAUUUCCUUAUAAAAGAUUAUCCAACUGUUAGUGGCAAACAUAACUGGAGUAGGGAGACCCCUCUUGUUCUUGGGGAAACACCAUUGUAGAGUCUAGACAUCCAGGAUGCCUUAAAGAGUACCAAAAAACCCUAGGGAUGGGUGAAAUCUAACCUACCUGGCUUUCCAGUUAGUGAAGGCCACGAUAGUCAAUGCUAUGUAUCUUUGGGGCAAAAUAGAACAAAUGUAAUUCCUCUUUUAUUUGACAGCAUUUCAAAUAUGUUCAUGUAGUUAUCCUAUCCUAUCCUAUCUCUACCCCCAAACUCAUCCCCACAGUCUUCUUUUCUCCAGGCCAAACAUGCCCAGCUCCUUCAUAUGGCAAGGACUUGAGUCCCUUCACCAUCCUAGUUGCCAUCCUUGGGACAUCAUCUAACACGUUUUUAGUCUUUCCUAAAAUGUGGUACCCAGAAAUGAACAUGGUACUCCAGAAGAGUAUAGAGGCCUUCUCUUUAUAUUCCUGUAUGUAGUCUAAGAUUUUCUUAGCUUUCGUGGCUGCAGUAAACUUCCUGUAUCCUAAAGAUACUGAUAUUGGUUUGUAAGAGAGGAACUGAACGGAUUCCUUUAUGACCCUUCCACACAGCUUUCCUCUCCCUCUCUAA